rnacentral:lncRNA from 1 species
AGCCCGGAGUACACCUACAGGCUAGCCACCCUGGUAUAAACAAAAAACGCAAUACCAAAACGCGCGACAGUUGUCCAGUUGUGGUCGUUGUGGCGUUGUGAUCGUUGUAGCUGGGAAAGCUGCGUCUGAAUUACUCCGCUGUCAAUACAUUGGUAUAUUCUGUAACUACUGUAACGCUAGGUUAGCUACUAGACGCUGUCUUUGAAGUGACAGGUGUCAUGAGAUAUUCGCAAGAAUAGGCAACGUUCUGACAGGUGUGGCCUGGCUAUGCAAAGUUUCGUUUCCUUCGUCUAAGACGCUGCACCACCAUAGUAGUAAACCAUAGCAAUACUACAUCGGCGCAGCAGUACGCUGAUCAGACAAGUACAAGACUCUAGGCAAAGGGUUGCGAGCUGCAUCCGGACGCUUGCUCUGCUACAAUGAGUUGGUCAGGAGGGGAAUGCAGCUAUUCGCAGGCACUGAAAGGUGCAAGACGUGCUUCGCUUAAUGGUGACACUGACGAGACAAGCCUGCAUGCACUGGCGAUUGAGCCCAGGUGCGACACAUCUGCUUACGAAAAGAGACAAGUGGAGCAGCAUCUACCGGUAGCAGACUUUCCACAAGGACGUUCAUGGUCUGAGACAGGUUCAGCUUCGCCUGGCUCUGAAACCUACUCGCAAAAUCUUGAG